rnacentral:rRNA from 1 species
GAACUAACAAGGAUUCCCUUAGUAACGGCGAAGUGAAGCGGGAAAAGCUCAAAUUUAAAAUCUUGGCUAGAUUAUCUGCCACGAAUUGUAGUUUUCAAGAAGCGUUUUCUGUGCGCGCCUGGGUAUAAGUCCUUUGGAACAGGGCAUCAUAGAGGGUGAGAAUCCCGUUUAUGAUCCGGAGCGGCGGACUGUGUGAUACGCUUUCUAAGAGUCAGGUUGUUUGGGAAUGCAGCCUAAAAUGGGUGGUAAAUUUCAUCUAAAGCUAAAUAUCAGCGAGAGACCGAUAGCGAACAAGUACCGUGAGGGAAAGAUGAAAAGAACUUUGAAAAGAGAGUUAAACAGUACGUGAAAUUGUUGAAAGGGAAACGUUUGAAAUCAGUCAUGUGUAAGAGUAAUCAGCUUGGCUUAUGCCUCGCGCACUUUCUCUUGUGCAGGUCAGCGUCAGUUUCAACCGACGGAUAAAAAGCUUUGGGAAUGCNACCCUUUCGGGGGAGUUAUAGCCCUGGCUAAAAUACGUUGGUGGGGUCUGAGGUCUGCAGUCAUUGCCUUUAGGCUGAGGAAUCUUUUGCUCUUCUGUUAUGGGGCUUANACAGCUUGCUGACUAGGUCUUCCUACCGGGAGAAUCGGGAGAAACUCCUUCAAUAUCGACUUAGGUCGCUGACUUAAUGGUUUUAAAUGACCCGUCUUGAAACACGGACCAAGGAGUCUAACAUAUAUGCGAGUGUUUGGGUGCCAAACCCAUGCGCGAAAUGAAAGUGAAUGUAGGUGAGAUCCUCACGGAGCAUCAUCGACCGAUCUUGAAAAUUUUGAAUA